AGCUGAUAAGCCCCAUUACGAUGAAGCACAAUCUGCCAGCAAAUGUUUAAUACGCUGCUGAUGGACACUCUAACAAGAUACCCGCCUUUGCGUGGCUCGAGAUAACGUCAGGUCGCACCGUUUCCUGGUGAGCUUGAAAGGCUUGGUGCUAACGCAACUAGCUGCUAACAAGCUAACAACAGUUACUUGGACAGCCGCGGAUCAUGUGAUCCAUUCGGACAGAAACAACCACCGAGUGCUGAGGCCACAGUGAGGAGCUCUGUCUGCCAUGCCUGGUCUCUGCUUUGGCUCUGCUCCCACACUGGAUAUGCAUUGUUAUCCAGCAGCACCCUGAGGACACCCACAUCAUGUCCGACCACACGGUAAUCGAAGCCAUAGCAACACUCCAGUCUCCUGCCAUAGCGACACACACCUGGUUGGUUUCCAGUAAGGACUUGUCGGUAGUGCCUUUGUAAAAGAAGAGAGGUGUGGAAGGCUGCAGUUCAGCAUAUGGGAGGGCAGCUGGGAGAGCUGGUGUCAGCAGCAGCCGAGUUGAACACAUGGGUUUGUGGUACCGAACGGCGUUAGCAGUGAGUGCACACAGCUACGGUGAGCUCCAAGUGGAAAACGUGUCAGUAAGUCAUUACCCUCACUGCUUAAAGCAAACCUUUGCCCCAUAGUACUCAAGUGAAUUUUUAAACUCUUUAGGGUUGUAAUGCUUUCAUUUAAAUGGCUGGCAGUUAGUUUGGUGACAUAUCAAGGGCGAGUAGGCGGGAGAAGGCGAAAGCUUUUAUCAGUAUUGUACAGACAGCUAUUGCAUGAUGGCAGCAUGCACCAGUGUGAACUUGAUUCGUGUCG